GUUAUUUUCUUACAGAUGAGUAAACUGAGGCCCAGAAAAAUGACUUGGCCUGGUCAAAUGAGGUAUCGGUGACAGAACGCUUGAAUCCUAGUGGAGGGCUCUUUCCAGAAGGAUGAGUUGCUUCUUAGAAUUUAUCCAUUUUUUGCCAAUUAGUAGGGACUUAAAACACUGUUUGCAAACAACAAAAACAACCCUUUUCCUCUCUCCCCUCUAGCUCCUGCCCCACCUUUUGCCAGGCUGGAUUAGCUGCAACUGAGCACUUUUACAUACAGUGCCUCCCCCACCUCUUCCAUUCUGAGAAAGGACAGAAGAACAGGAUAUGAGGAAAAGGCAUCAAGAUCCCUAAAUCUAGACAUGGGAAAUGGAGGAGGAGGGGAGACAGCAACCAUCAGGCCUCCUACGCACUUUGAAGAUGGUCCAUCAAAGCAGAAAAAAAUCAUGGAAGAGGUUGAGUCAUGGACUUUUCAUGGCAACACUGAACAUGGUACCACUGAACAUGGAAGCCAGUGGGAGAGUUGAAUUUCAUUUCCAGUUCUACCACAAACAACAUAUACACAGCCCCUUCUGCUUUCUUGGCCUUACCUUCAACAUCAAAAAAAUGAUGACAUAUCACUAGCUGAUCUCAACAUCAGCUCUUCUUCUUGAAAUGGACUCUAUCAUGCCCUUGGACAGGUAUCUUCUUCCUGAGGUUCUUCUUCCCUCACUUAUUAGCUUAUUUUUGUGUAUUGUCUUCCCCAUUAGAUAGUAAGCUGCUUGAGAGCAGGAACUUUCUUUUUCUUGAUUGUAUCCCCAGUGCUUGGCAAAGUGUCUGACACCUAGUAGGUGUUUAAUAAAUAUUUAUCACCUGACUGACUUACUAACUCU
rnacentral:lncRNA from 1 species